AAAGUGCGAGGACGGAACACUUCGGAAAGUCCGAAGGUGUUAGAAUGAUCAGAAGUGCGUUGUGGAAGGUUUUCGAGAGCUAAAGAAUCAAAUUCUGCAAAACUACAGAUUUUCAGCUCUCGGGGACCGGUCCCUGGUGGGAGAGACCGGUCCCCGAACGCGUAUGAAAUGAGACAGCCGAAAAAUCGGCUAAGUCCUGAGAAAGUAGCUCUCGGGAACCGGUCCCUGCCUGAGAGACCGGUCCCCGAGAGACCGGUCCCCACAAGGAGAGACCGGUUCGCCUACAAUAAUAGCUACCAAGAAAGUAUAGCGAUGGCGCCUUUUGAGGCACUAUACGGUCGAAAGUGUCGUUCUCCUAUCCAUUGGAGCGACGUGGGCGAGAGAACGGCUCUUGGCCCAGAUGUGGUGCGGGAGGCGGAAGAGAAAGUUCGCCUUGCCCGUCAACGGUUGGCGAUGGCGCAAUCUCGGCAAAAGAGUUAUGCCGACAAACGAAGAAAGGAUUUAGAGUUCGCGGUUGGAGACCGUGUAUUCUUAAGAGUGUCGCCAAUGCGAGGAGUUAAACGAUUCGGGGUCCGUGGGAAGUUAAGUCCCCGAUAUGUCGGACCGUUUGAGAUAUUGGAACGGGUGGGUGCGGUGGCGUACAAGCUCGCACUACCACCGAGACUCGCGGGAGUUCACAAUGUGUUUCAUGUGUCGAAUCUUCGAAAGUAUAUCCGAAACGCGACACAUGUAUUGGAAUACAAACCCGUGGAGCUACGUGUAGAUAUGUCCUACGAGGAGUACCCGGUGUGCAUCCUCGAUCGAGAAGUGAGGAAGUUGCGGAGUCGCAAAAUCCCUUAUGUAAAAGUCCAAUGGAGCAACCACGCGGCGCGAGAAGCCACUUGGGAGCUCGAAGAAACCAUGCGAAGAGAGUAUCCGCAUCUAUUUGAAUCGACAAGUUAAGGUAUACGUAAUUUCGCGGAAGAAAUUAUUUUAAGGGGUGGAGAAUGUAAUAUACCGAAAAUUCGAAAAAUAAAAAUGUCGAACUUUAGUCAAAUUGACCAAAGUGCGAGGACGGAACACUUCGGAAAGUCCGAAGGUGUUAGAAUGAUCAAAAGUGCGUUGUGGAAGGUUUUCGAGAGCUAAAGAAUCAAAUUCUGCAAAACUGCAGAUUUUCAGCUCUCGGGGACCGGUCCCUGGUGGGAGAGACCGGUCCCCGAACGCGUAUGAAAUGAGACAGCCGAAAAAUCGGCUAAGUCCUGAGAAAGUAGCUCUCGGGAACCGGUCCCUGCCUGAGAGACCGGUCCCC
rnacentral:lncRNA from 1 species